CCUGCACGCCCAGCAUCUCUGAACAAACAUGCAUGCCUUGGUCAGUCGUGCCUCUGAUAACUCCUCCGGGCUCCUUUCUAAUUCUGUAACAGAGAAGCUCGCAUUGGCAUGGCAUUUGCUGCGGCCAGCUGUGUCCUACUUGGAAAACAGCACUUUGCUUCUGCUUCCAGCUUCCCAGUCUGUCCCAGCUUCAGAAGAAUCCUGUGGAAAAAAGUUGAAUAUCAGUGCUCCAUCUUAAGUAUGCCUGAAUACAGGAUGCCUCACAUUUCUAAUGGAAAAAGGUAAGGAUGAGGUUCUUUUCUCUGAAAGCAUAAGGAGCUGUUGGAAUUGAAAGCAGUACUUCUUUCUACAGGCUGACAACACAGCUACCAGGUGCUUUCAAGCUGUGGAUGUUGAUAUCUGAGUCUUCCUGCUGUCUUUGAUGAGCAUGUUCUGCAGCUGAAGGCUGGCUGCUGAGGCAGGGAACCAGGCUUUGACUCGUGGAUCUUGACAGCUCCAUUGUCCCCAGGAAUGAACCUGUCACAGGAAGCCAUUGCCCUUUAGGCUUGGCCCACAGUAACAGGGCCAGUUUUGUGCAAAGAAGUAGGCAUGGAGGUCUAGAGGUGGCAGAACUGUUAAACUCAUGUCUAAGUUCAGUUGCAGCUGGCAAAAAAUUAGAAUGAAUCUGCUUGAAGUAGGGGAAUACUUGAAUACAGAAGUUGUAGCCUGAAGAUGUUUCCAGGGACAACUUUGUACCUCCUUCCCACUGGUAUCAUUACAUUUUGUUGAACAUCUCUCAUAGUGGACAAACAUGAGGUUUGAAGAAUGCAGGAAAAUAUUCUGCAAGUGUUCCCAAAAAGCCUGUGACUGAUGUGGUAUGGUUUGGCUUGUCCUCAAAAUGAGAUUUUAUGCACUCUACCAUCAGCUUACAAUUGAGAUGAUUUGUGCCUGUGAGGACAUCUUCUCUAUAGUUUUUAAUACCUUAUAAUAAACUAAAAAAUCAUUGCUAGCCCUAGUGCAGUGCCCUUCUCUAUUCCUUGUCACUCAACUGCUGAGCUUUGGAAAGCCUGCCAAGUCCUUGGCAGAAGCUUCUUCUCGUCUGAGCAGAACUGCAGGAUUUGAUCCAGGAGAAGAGAGGGUUUUCAUAUUUUAUUCUGAUGUCAGCAACAGAAACCUUCAAAGCAGAGGAAUACUCCCCAGCUGUGAGCUGGGUUGCUCAGGAGGUACCACUCCUGUCCCUUUGUCAAGCUGAUCAGGGUACAAAAGAGCUCUUUUUCUAGGCUGGAUGCACUGAAGAGGCGCCAGGGCAUCCCACCCACAGUACUCAUUAAAGAAAAAUAACAACAGCACAAAGCCCAAGGAUUGUUUUCGUAUUCGUAGUAUCUCAGCAACGGCUACUCUCUAUCAUCUGUUUUUGCUUUGGUGACUUCUUUUCUUAUUAAGAAGAAAUGCCACAUGCUGCCACAC